CACCAGCCACCCAGCUGAGACCCACUGUGCAGAAGCUGCUUCACGAGGAGCUGGCUCUGCAGUGGGUGGUCAGCAGCAGUGCCGUACGCGAGGCCAUCCUCCAGCACGCCUGGUUCUUCUUCCAGCUCAUGGUGAGACCCCCUCCUCCCUGCCUGGUGGCAAGAGACCCCCAGUGGAGCCCCUUCCUUUUUUAAAGAGAGAAGCCCCCUGGCCAGGCAUAGUGGCUCACGC
rnacentral:sRNA from 1 species